UCUUUUGCCAAUUGGGACUGCAAUACUUGCUGAUGUCAUCUAUCUAUCUUGAUUUAGGUCGCUUGUGGACGCUUUUUAUCAAGUGGGAUCCAUUCUAUGACUGCCUUGGUCCACCUGCCACCAGUUCUUCUUGCUCUGUGACCAUCCCAUUUCCAUUUCAAUUCUUUUACUCUCUUGAAGAUAUUGUAUACUUUUGUUUGUUCAUGUGCAGGUCUUUCUAUCUUGUCCUAUACCUUACUUCAAAUGUCCAUAUCUGAUUUCAGUGAAAGAUGCAAUGAACGACUCUCCUUCCAAACAAUUUAUUGUUCCAUGAUUUACAAUUCUGCUACACAUUUGACUCCUCAGAGCUAAAAUAAGCAAGAUAAAACUAACAAUUGUUAGUGAAAAUAAUAACCUGACUAAGCACCUUCAUGAACAAAAAUGAAAUGUGCACGCUGAGUUGAGAUAAGCGUCCCUUUUUCCUUAAAAAAAAGCAUAGGAUAUUUUUACUUAAAAGUAAUACAACAAGUCAUCUGUAUCCGUGUUCAGAUCCUUUUCCUGAGGACAAAGUGUUUUUAAAACUAAGGUGGAAGAGUGCUGGGCUAUACGAUAUCCUUUCUGAAAGGAUAACAAGGCUACGUGGCACAGUGCUAUGGACACUGGGCCUUCAUCCCCUUCCACUUUCUGGAGGUCUAUCCAACCUGAACUGCUCUACUGCCUCAUGUAUUAUGGUGUCUCUUUCAUGGAAACCCAGAAGCUUGUGCCAAAGCUUGGUUGACGAGGGAUCAGAAUAAAUUGAUUAAUUGCAUUCUGGUGGCGAGAAUGGAAAUGUAGAAUGUGAAGGAAAGAGGAAAGUCAUCUGCUUUUCCAGUGAUGUUUUCUAUGAGUUACAAUUUCAAGCAGACAGGCUCGUCAUUUCUCACUCUGCAUCUGUAUCUUUAAUCUUACCUUUGUUGUGGUUGUUCCUAAUGGAGAGUUGAUUCCCUAGGUCCCUUAAGAGGGUUGUAUAACUUGGGGAAUUCUCCAGGUGCAUCUAGGCUUAGUGGAAUAGGGCUUGGCUGUCUGAAGCUCUUUUCUCAUGAAAGAGAGGAGAGCCUGCCAAAAAUACCAUUAUUACGGAUUUCAGAACAUCUCAUUUUUCCCUUGUCCUUUUAGAAUAUAUAUUUUUUUAAAUUUAAAAAAAGAAAACAAAACAAAAUUGCCAGUGAAUGAAGAACAUGUAAUGUGUUUAUGACUGUAGCACAAAAGAGUCCAAACAGAUGGAAAGCUGAUUCCUGGCUGUCGCAGGUGAUGUGGCUGAGAAGAAACUUGUUGAAAUACGGUUAGAGACCAAAUUGCUAUGAAUUGUUCCAAUUUCACUUGUUCUGGCUCCUGAGCCCGUCUGUCUCUGCCUGUGGAAUCUUCUGCUCCGACUUUGUAGAUGUUGGCUCAAUUUUGUCUUACUUAAUUUCUCAGCAGCAGCACUUCUUGGCAAAAAUGUCCUUUCAUAUCAACCGUGGCUCCUAUUUUUAUACUGUAUAUCUGGACAGCCAUUUUCGGAACCCCCAAAUAUUGUAGGGUGCCGUGUUAUUCUACAGCAUUUGGGCGAGAAAAAAGUGGUAACUGCUGCCAUAUAAACAUGAUUCUCACUAUUUUAUCUAGGUCAUUUGAAAUGUGAAAAGAAAUGGGGUCUAAAUUGCCAAAAAUAAUGUUUUGUUGCCGCAAGGCUAUAGAAAUUAAGGUGCCAGCAAAAUGAAAUUAAAGAUAAAAUGGAAAGAAACUGCCUGUCUUGUGAAGAUAGAAGCCUUGGACGUUUGGAGAUGCCCUGCUAUAAGGCAAUGGCUGGAUGGAAGAAAAGGAAAGGGAGCAAACACGAAGCUCUGAUGACUCCAGAAAGCCAUUUUACUUGUUGUUUUUAUUCCUAACUAAUCCAUGCACAUAUUGAAUUCAGUCUUGUCAACUCAACUUCGUCUAAAGGCACAUAAUAUGCAUACUUUUCUCUUGCACACCAACCUCUGGGAAAACAUUUGGAUGAAGUUAUUAAUCCCUCUGGUGCCCAAGAUGUCUAGGAGACAUCUUCAAAACAGCAUGUAAAUAGCCCUUGGAAUGGCUAGAACGAGAUGAUUUUGGUCCAAAUAACAAUGGAAGCCGUCAUGCACCUAAGUAAACAGGCAGCUAUGCCAAUGAACAUACUCAUUUUAUGGGGCGGGGGGGGGGAAGAGGGAGGAUGAGUGUCAGACUGGAGAUUUGCUCCAUCAAGGCUUGGGGGAUACAUUCUUUUUUGGCUCAUGAACCAAAGACUUUACUUUGCUGGAUUCACACAUCAAACCUGGCUCCUCUGCGUACCCAUAAAAACAACUGAAUGGCUGUGAUGACACUGAUCAAAUUGUUUCAGCCCAUAGGGAGGACAAGGGCAACAGCAGAGGGAAAAAGAACUGACAGCCUCUAUUGAUAAUUUUCAGUUCAUCCAGAAGGCAUUAUGCUUUUCCAUCACUCCAAAAUACAGCAGACACAGCUGCAACUACAAGAGUGAACAAGGUUUGUUGGGAACUUACCUUGGGAAAAAAAAAAUUCUCAGAGAUUCAGGCUGAAACAUGAGUUAGAUUGGUGCCAGUUGACAAGGGCUGCUUUCCAUACCUUCACUGAAUAAGUUACAGCUGGCUGUUUUCUCUGAAGAUACUAGGCCUUAAAUCACGGUUUACAGGCCACAGUGUCUGAUUUCCUACAAUGCAUUCAGCUGAAAUCAAAUCGGUGUACCUUACGGCUUAGCCUAAUACAUGAAUCAGUCUUGUACCGGACUGUAAUAAAAUAUAAAAGAUGGAAUGAAAA